CUGUGUGUUGUUCAAUUCUCAGCUAGCUGACAAUGGUGUAACUGUGCACCUUGAUAAUCACAUGCUAAGAAACGUCCCUGCUAAUGGAACAAAGGUACCACCUGGGGAACUGGACACAGAAUGCACCUGUCACUCCGAGUUAUCCCAGAGACUGCAGGUGUGGGACAGAGCCACAGUGGGGCCGUGUUCCUUAUACUAAAUAUGCUGUGACUGCAUCUGUUGUGUACAUGCCCCUUAAACCCAGAUGCUCAGGAGUAACGUACAUUUUGCUGAAAAAGUUCUAUGGGCCAGAUGGGGGACUGUGCAACCCACUGUUCAUUCAGGCGUUGACAAUGCAGCCAAGCCCACCUGGCCUCCAGACCUUUGGAACCGAGAGACAGUAGGACACAGGGUGCUGGUGGAAGCCUGUUCACACAUUUGUGCUCAUCUGCUGCAGGGUCAGGAAACUGAAACACAGUUGACGUCUGGGAGAAGAUAACUAGGCAAAACAUCUUAUGAUCCUUGUGGGAAUCUCAACUCUCAGUAGAAACUCCAGAAGGUUUUUAGUUCAUCUGACUCUCAAAUGGAAGCUAUGUCCCUGGGCUUCUCUGAAGGACCCACAACAAGACCUGCAGCCCCUCCAGUGUCUGGGUCUCCACCUGCAGAAGCUGCAGAGGGCAGGCUGCUGCCCCUGU